ensembl:lncRNA
GCCAGGAAGUGGAGCGCGCGGGAGGAACGGGGGAGAACAGGAUGGCAGCUGUUUGACCCAGCAGAAACGGUUUGAAAGCAAUGACGUUUAGACCCAAUAUCGCUUAGCGUGAACGACACCAGGAGAUUGCCGUUUUGCCUCUGGAGUGUGUAGCCGUUCGAGACGCUGGCGAGUCGCGCUACGGCGGCCAGAGGAAAAAGUUGUAAUCGCGGGAGUUGUAAUUGCGGUCAACUUUCAUCUUUGCCGCCGCGGAGAUUGACGGAUCCCUGCCACCCAGAGACAGAGCUCCGAUAACGAGUGCAAACUAGAGGGACACGUAAGUAGGGGCGUCUCAUCCUCUGUCAGUAUAUGGUAGUAGAGGAAAAUAUCGGAUCAUCAAGGUUUAUUUGAUGGAGAGAAAGAAAAAUAGUGCGUUGGAGAUGAGCACCAUGGAUAUUUGUUGAAGAGGACAGAUUCAGGGCGAUUGAGGAUUGGAGAGGACCACAAAUGAGUCAAGGGCUGCUGUCUGGAGCCUGGACCGAAAGGUCGGAUAAAAAUUAUUUCUUUUAAUUCUUUACAUUUUUUGUUUCCAAAGAAUGGACGCUGAGUGGCAUUUUCACAUCAAUGCAAUGCGAUCAAUUUCAAUUUGAGAAAAGGACUUAUACCAG